rnacentral:rRNA from 1 species
UACGUAGGGUGCAAGCGUUGCCCGGAUUUAUUGGGCGUAAAGGGCGCGUAGGCGGCUCGGCACGUCCGUUGUGAAAUCGCCCGGCUCAACUGGGCGGGGUCAGCGGAUACGGUCGAGCUUGAGCAAGCUAGGGGGCAAUGGAAUUCCCGGUGUAGUGGUGGAAUGCGUAGAUAUCGGGAGGAACACCGGUGGCGAAGGCGGUUCUCUGGGCCUGUGCUGACGCUGAGGAGCGAAAGCGUGGGGAGCGAACAGG